rnacentral:lncRNA from 1 species
UGACGACCAAUGGAGUUCUUGGUCUACUCCGACGUGUUCUGUUACAUGUGGUAUUGGUACAGGAUUGAGAAAUAGGAGUUGCGACAGUCCACCACCCUCUGACAAUGGAAAAGAAUGUAUAGGAUCUUACACGGAGGCAAUUAAUUGUAGUUUAAUAGCAUGUCCAGGUAUAAAUUGUCAAUAUUAUUUAAAUAUCACUUCUCUUUUAGAAAAGAAAAUAUGUUUACGCAUAUUUGUGAAUCAACUUCUACAUUAGAAAUACCCAUUAUGGUUAUCUGGUCCGAUCUCGUAAGCGCUAAAGUUGACGAAAUGUUGUUGAGAUUAAAACUGUCUGUCUACAUGGUAUAGUAAAACAAAUGAAGGAUUGUUCUGUCAAAUAUAAGUAAACACAACAAUGUGUUAUAUCUUAAAUUUACUAUGUUACUGAAUAGAAGCUGUCAAUUGCCAUUUGUGAUAUACUCAAUGAAAAUAUUUCUUGAUUUUGUGUGUUUUGUUCCCACGCUUAGAAUCGCAAGACAUAAAGCAUUGUUAUUUAAAACAACAUAAUUAGGAGAAUACAUUUUUUGAUCUCUGAAGACUCGCUGAUUAAGCUAGUUUUAUUUAUAGUCUAUAACAACUAUCUGUGAUAGUUUCUAUAAUACAAAAGCUAUAUAUCAUAAUAAGUUCUUUCCACUUUCGUUGAAAGACCUUUUGGUUUUCUUAAGAUUAUUAUGUUUUUCAACCUUUUCGGUUGAAAGACCUAUAGGGUUUGUUCUGAUUAUUAUUUUUUUUCCUUCGCUGUUUUUUUUUUGUUUCAGCAAAAUGUCGCUUAGAUAAAUAAAAUAUGAUAUCGAACAGUUUAUGCGCCUUUGAAAAUGACCCUGCUAGACCGAUUACUUUCCCAUAUAAGAGUUAUCUCCCCGAAUACUGUUUACCUUGUUAUCGCCCAAUCUUCACAACCGUAUAGGAAACCGACAAAUUUAUUUUUCUAAAUUGCUCAUUAAAUCCACAGGAUGAUUUGAUCUAUUUUGAUCGAAGCUAUCCGGAGACUCCAUAUGAGAGUUAUUCCUCCUUUUGUAUAUGAUAUAAGUGAUAUGCAUUUCUAACUGGUAAACCAUAAGUGAUAGAGACCUACACAAAUGGAGGGUCUUUUGAUUUAAGAUCCUCGGUCCAAAAAAAUGAAAAUUAGGUCAAGGACAAAGGUCAAGGUCAAAUUCGAAAUUUUGAUUUUGGCUUAUUUUCACUUAUUUUCAGCAACCUUAUAAGAUAUCGAUUUUUUUUUACUAAAUUGUUAGUUGCAACAUGUCGUAACUUUUUUAUUUUAGUUGAAAGGGUGCGUUGCCAAUACAUGGGUGUUUUCGCCCCUCUUAUAAUUAGAAUUAUGGGUAAAGUGAUAUUAUACUAUGACCUUGAAAUUGAGGUCAAGGUCAUAGGUUAAUUGGACGUUCAAGAUUUUGACUUUUGCUGAAAAUUCAUAUUUGUACAUCAUUAAGCCAUAGAAACUGACAUUUUCAACUGAAUCUUAAUAUGUUCAUAUAAAAAUAUAUCAUUAUUGGUUGAAAGACCUUCAAUUGUUCUCUGAACAGUUGGUUUUUAUUUAUUUUUUCUUCUGCCGUCUGAGAUACUUUUUUUUUUCUUACAACAUAUCAAAUGGAUUUUUGGCCAAUGAUGUUGUACAGUAAUGGGGGUUUCAAAACUCACCCUGUGUAACCGAACACUUAUUCUUUUGGUUGUUAUAUCCCCGCAUCCCCCUUUUUUUUCUUGUUGCCGCUAUAUAUCUAAAACCGUAAAAGAUUUUAGCAAACUAAUAUCACCAAAUUGUUCGUCUAUUCUUAAGAAUGAUUUGGUUUAUUUUGACUUGAGUGAUCAAAUGACAUCUUAUGGGAGUUAAUUCCCUUUGAAAAUUUACGAUAGGUAAUUUGUUGGAUAAACUUAUACUUUAUUAGUCGUAGAGUCCUACAGUCUUUUGAUAUGACGUCCUUACUUCAUUUGAUGGAAAUUGAGAUCAAGGUCAAAGUUCAAGGUCAUGUAGUAAAUUUUGAAUUUUGCUUGUUAUCGUUAUUCCAAAGAAACUGUGACAGUGAAUGAUAUGAUGUCUUCACAAAAAGGCGCAACUUCAACCUAUUUAAUUCAUAAAGUUUUGGUUAACCCUUAUAGGAGUUUUCUCCCCUUUUGUAUUUGAAAUCAGUAUUUCUCUACAACCAUACAAGUGAUUGACCUGGUGUUUUCGAUUUGAGUUCACUGACCUAUGACCUUAAAAUUGAGAUCAAGGUCGAGGUCAAGGUCAUGUUAUAAAUUUUGAUUUUUGCUUGUUAUCUAUAUUCCAAAGAAACUGUUGCAGUAAAUGAUAUGCCAAAUAACUGUUUACAAUAAGGUGAAACCUCAACCUGUUUAAGACGAAGAGUUUUGGUUAACCUUCAUAGGAGUAAAGUCUUCUGCAUAGACCUAUUAAUCCUAUUUUGUUUAUAUUAGUUUGAUUUACAACAUUACAUCAACAAGGAGAGACAUUUUCUAAGAUCGUUUUUUAAAUUUCAUUCUAAUCAUGAAGACCUUCAAUUGUUCUUUGAAGAAUUGGUUUUUAAUUAAUGUUAAGAUCUGUUAUCUUUUCCGUGAUGAUUCAAAAUUUUAUUUUAUAGUCAUUAGAUUUUUGUUUUUCUCAAAAACUAUUGAUGAUUAUUUCAUUAAACUUCACACAAAAGAUGACAGGCGUAUCAUGAGCUCCCGGUGCAUCUGUUAAUGACCAAUUUAAAGUAAAGAACUGUUGAUCGAAUCAGUAGAAAAGGUAGUAAAAAGAAAGUUCGAAGUAAAAUACUAUUCCUUUUUUUUAUAACUGAAAUAUUUACAUUACACCGGGCAGUAUAACACACGUAACUAGUUGAUUUAUAGAUUGUUGGCUGCUUAACGUCCAGUGGCAAAUAUUUCAUGUAUGUUCGAUACGAAAACAAGUUUACAAUAAAUACAAUAGGUAGGUCUUGUCAUAUUAGAGGCCAUUCGGUAUGAUAGUCGAGGAAUUUUGGACUGUCACUGGAUAUGAAAGUAUAUUGGAUAGGGACAGACAUAUUACCUCGCGACAAGCCACCUACGGACCCUUCAAACAGGUUGUUGCAAGGGUUCUUAAUAUAUAAAGAGCGUGGCACUCUAUUUACACGUGGCAUUGGAUUUAACGUUCCUAUUCUUACCGGACGUGACUGCGAACUUGAUACAUCCCGCAGAGUCAAACGGACGCCCCACUUUAUCAAGCGUUUUACUGCCGGUGGGAAGAGGACCAAGUGACCAUAUUCCGUUUCCCCAGUCACCCAUGAGGGUCACACACACCUAAAUUGUGCAAAGGCUAUAAAUAAAAAAGUGUUUUAAAGCUGAAAAAGUUCAAAUGUUAUCGAAUCAUAGCAUAUGGGUACAUUUUUGGAAAUCUCACUACAGAAAUCGCGGUUGACACAAAAGAAGUAUACGGAAGUCCAAAGUUUUAUCGAACAGAUAACAUCACUGCAGGCUUCGAUAUCACAUAAGAACUAAUAGUUGAAGUAUGCCCCUUUUGAUAAAAAAUUGACACUUUUUCUACAUAAAUGGAUACUCAGAAAGACUCAUCUAACAAGUGUAUCCUUGAAUUAUAAACUUUGACAAAGGAAACUCGAUUAAACAUAACCAAAAUUAGCUAUUUUUGAAGGAAAUGACAAUCAUUGCUAAAGGUGGUACCUUACACUACAGGGAGAUAACUCUGUAACAUCAGCUAAACGUUUGAAUUACGUUGUAUUGUAAAGGGAAUAUUUAGCUUCUAAAUGAUCAAAAUCAGCGUUUGUCAAAGUGCUAUACCAGUGUAAUAUUUCUGACAGAAUGGUUGGUGGUUGGUUCAAUUUUUUUUUUUUUUUUAUAUUUUUAUCUAAGGGUCAAAGUUAAUACUUUGUCAAUAUUUUAUGAAAAUUUAACGAGCCAAAUAAAUUUUAGUGAAAUUUUUGGUACCACCUUAAGUUACAAGUAAACAUAACAUUAAACCUAUCAAAUUAAAUAUAAUUUAUUCUGAUAUUCAAUGAUUGAUUUAUUUACAGAACCGUACAGAAGAAGAGGUAAAUAUUAUAAUAAGGUCUUUCCACCUGAACUUUUGAUUUUAUUCUGAUUAUUAUUAGGUCUUUCAACCUUUUUGGUUGAAAACCUAUAGGAAAAAAGUUGAAAGACCUAUAGGUUUUGUUCUGAUUGUUAGGUCUUUCCACCUUUCCAGGUGGAAAAACCUUUUGAUUUUGUUCUGAUUAUUAGGACUUUUCACCUUUCCGUGUGGAAAGACCUCUGCAAUUUGUUCUGAUAAUUAUAAGGUCUUUUAACCUUUUCGGUUGAAAGACCAAUAGGCUUUGUUCUGAUUAUUAUUAUUAUUAGGUCUUUCCACUAUUCCGUGUGGAAAGACCUAUUGUAUUUGUUCUGAUUAUUAUUUUUUUUUCUUCCGGCUAAUUUUUUUAAUUGCGUAGUAUUUAUGUUUUAAAAGGUGUCGCUUAGAUAUUUGAAAUAUGAUAUCUUAUAGUUUAUACGAUUUAAAAAUUUACAACGGCGUAACAAAAUACUUUACGUUGUAAGAGUUAUCUCCCCUAACACUGUUUUUCUUGUGGCCACUACUCCUGCGCAACCGUAAAAGAUUACGACAAAUUUAUUUUACCAAAUUGCUCGUUACAUCUUAAAGAUUAGGAUAUUCAUAUACGGAGACUCAUAUAGAGUUUUCACCUUUUUCAUUGAUCAGUGAUUUGCAUUUCUAACUAGUAAACCAUAAGUGAUAGAGACCUAGGGUCUUCAGAUUUGAGGUCCUUAGUAAAAAAAAUGAAAAUGAGGUCGAGGUCAAAGGUCAAGGUCAUAUUCUAAAUUUUGAUUUUGGCUUAUUUUCACUUAUUUUCAAAUACCUUAUGACAUAUCGACAAUUAAUUUUUCAUAAAUUGUUAGCUGCGACAUGUCUUUCCUUGUAUAUUUUAAUUGAAAGGGUGUGCAGACAAAAAAAUGGAGUUUUUGCCAAUCUUACAUUUAGAAUAACAUGUAAAGUGAUAUUACUCAUUAACCAAACAUAUUAAAGACCUAUUCUUUUUUUUGAUUUUAGGUCCUUGGUUUGUGACCUUGAAAUUGAGGUCAAGGUCAUAGGUUGAUAGGACGUACUAGAUUUUGACCUUUGCUCUAAAUUCAUAUUAAUACAUCAUAAAAGCCAUAGCAACUAACAUUUCAAACUGAUUUUUCAUAUUUCAAUAUCAAAAUAAAUCUUUAUUAGUGGAAAAACCUUCAAUGGUUCUCUGAACAAUGGUUUUUUUUCGUUUUUUUUCUUCCACCUAACUUUUUUCUUACGUAGUGUUGAUGUUUCAAAAGAUGUCGCUUAGAUAUUUGGAUAUGAUAUCGUAAAGUUAAUACGCUGAAAAAUUGACAAAGGCGUAACCAAAAAAUUUACGUUGUAAGAGUUAUCUCCCCAAACACUGUUUUUCUUGUGGCCACUACUCCUUCCAACCGUAAAAGAUACGACAAAUUUAUUUACCAAAUUGCUGUUACAUCUUUAGGAUAAGGAUAUUCAUUUGGACCGAAGCUAUUACGGAGAAUCCACAUAGAGUUAUUCCACUUUUUCAUUUGAAUCAAAUGAUAUUCAUUUUCAACUAGUAAACCAUAAGUGAUAGAGACCUAGGGUCUUCAGAUUUAAGGUCAUUUGUCCAAAAAAAAAUGAAAAUAAGGUCACGGUCAAUGGUCAAGGUCAUGUUCUUAAUUUUGAUUUUGUCUUAUUUUCACUUCUUUUCAAAUACCGUAUGACAUAUUGAUAAAUAAUUUUUCAUAAAUUGUUAGUUGCGACGUGUCCUUUCUUGUAUAUCUUGGUUGAAAGGAUGCGCAUACAACAAAUGAGAGUUUUUGUUCAUCUAACAUUUAGAAUUACGCGUAAAGUGAUAUUACUCAUUAACCAAACAUAUUAAAGACCUAGGGUCUUUUGAUUUAAGGUCAUUGGUUUGUGAACUAGAAAUUGAGUUGAAGGUCGUAGGUUGAUAGGACGUUCUAGAUUUUUGACAUUUUCUUUAAAUUCAUAUGUAUACAUCAUACUAACAUUUUAAACUGAUUUUUUAUAUUUUAAUAUCAAAAUAGAUCUUUAAUAGUGGAAAGACCUUCAUUUGUUCUCUGAACAAUUGGUUUUUUCUUUUAUUUUAAUUUCUGUUUGUAUUUCUUGUUACACGCAUCUAUACAAAAAGUAAAACAUGAUACGACUUUAGUUAUCAAAUGUGUAUUAAUUAUCAUUUAAUAUGCCAGACUUGCGUUACGUCUACGUCAGUCUUAUCAGUGACGCUCAGAUCAAAACGACAUGUAUCUUCAUGUAAUUAAUUUGGUUAUCGGAUGAUUUCUGAUUUUCUAAUCGCACAUUUUCCUUAUUUGUAACAGUUUACUAGUUUAUGCUUCAAGAAAUGAUUGUUACGUGUUUAUGACACCCGGUGUCAUAUUUCCUUUUAGUUAAAGCAUGCAGAAUUUUGUGGAUUGUUUUAAUCUACUUGUACUGUCUAACGUUCUGUUGUCCUAUUUAAACGAAAAUAAUAUUUUGAUAAUUUGAAAGUGAUUGUUGCAAAACAUCAAUUGUUAGGUACUUCAUGCACAUGAAGGGCGAGACAUAUAAACACCAAAAUUAUUUUUGGUCAUGUAAUACAGGAUGAAGGUCGGUGAAAUCUUUACUAUCACUGGAAUAUGAAAGUAUUUUGAAAAAGGGACAUACAAUUGGCCUCGCAACAGGCCACCCACGGACCUCUCAAAGAAUUGCUGCACGGGGGAAUUACGUGCAGAAAACAUUGCAUUCUUUUAAUUUUACAUCCCGCACAGCCAAACAUUCGGUUUGAUAUAAAAAAAAAAAAAGAGAUGUGGUAUGAUUGCUGCUGAGAAAACUUACCACAAAAGUUCUUACGACCUUUAACAAUAAGAGAAACUCAUAUGAUAAAGACGGCUUUUGAAGGCCCUGUAAUGUUAGUCGAAGAAAAUCAGUUAUGCUUUACCCCAGUCUUCUUUUUUUAUAUCAAAAAGUGUGUUCUGUUAAAAAAUUAUAACAUGAAGUUCCAAAACUAAAUGAAAAGUCAAACAUAUUUACUUUAUAUUUUUAUAUAUGUAGGAUGUAAAAGACGAAACAGAAGAGGAAGAAAAUAGAAAGUCUUAUAUCAUUGCCGAUUGAAUUCCAAAGAGGAUACACUCAAAACAAUUGACGUGAACAACAACUUCUUGUUUAAAACAGAACUGUGCAAAACUGCAGGGGAAAUUUGGUUCAUUUGAUCAAUUAUAUCAUGUAUAUAUUGAGGGAUUGUCACUAUUUAAAUGUUGAAAUAUAACUUACGUAAUAAAAUUCGUUUCUUUAAUGAACUGAUAUUUUGGGCAGAAUUUAACUGUAAAUGAGGUAACUAAACAAUUAUUGAAAUGUCAUCAAAAAUCAAAUUUGCUUGCAUACUAGUACAGGAUUGUUCUGUAAUUCGUCACCGUGUUUUUUUUUUAUAAUAAAUAUGGGUAUGAAA